rnacentral:tRNA from 1 species
CACCGUGCUGGUCGGCAAGUUCGGCGACCUGUUCGGCCGCAAGAUCGUCUUCCAGGUGAGCGCGGUGAUCUUCAUCGCCGGCUCGGUGG